rnacentral:sRNA from 1 species
AAACCGGAAGGGGUGGGCUUUGCGAAGAUGGCGGCGCUGGGGGUGCUGGAGUCAGACCUGCCAAGUGCCGUGACACUUCUGAAAAAUCUCCAGGAGCAAGUGAUGGCUGUAACUGCACAAGUGAAAUCACUGACACAAAAAGUUCAAGCUGGUGCCUAUCCUACAGAAAAGGUAAGAUGUACUCAAACAGUAAGCAUCCCCUGACUUAAUGUUCUCAGUAGUUCUUUCAUUGUAUGUGUAUUGUGUCUUAUAUAUCCUAAGUGCUCGAGCUUCAAACAUAAAUAUGAUCCAGUUUCUGUGCAGAAGUCUAGAGGGAAGAAGAAGCAAAGCAAUAGAUGUAAGUAUUAAUAGUAGCAGUCACAUUACAGAGUUAUGAGUCUCCAGCCAAAGAGAGUGAUUAAUUAACUGCCAGAAGAGCAGAGGGAUUCAGGACAGGCUUCCCAGAGGAGGUGAUAGGAUUUUGAGGAAUAAAUGGGAGGGACAGAAAGAAGGAACAUGUGCAAAGGCACAAAGGCCUGAAAGUAAUGGUGAUAAGGGAAAGGAGUAAGUCAUUUUUGUGAUAGGAUGUACUUUCUGUGUUAUGUGUGGUGGGGGUAGGAAAUAAGACUGGAAAAGUAGUCACUCUGAAGAUUACUGUAGGCCAACUGAGGAGUUACUUUCAGAUUUCAUCUAAUCUAAGACACUUAUUAAUUGGGACAUAUCACUUAUUGUAUAUAUUAAGAAAAAAUGACAGGCCGGGCAUGGUGGCUCAUGCCUGUAAUUCCAGCACUUCAGGAGGCUGAGGCUGGAGGAUCGCUUGAGCUCA